GGCUGGUCCCAAGGUAGCGCGUUAUCACAAUUGAUUGCUCACAGUUACAGAUCACAAAACUCCUUGUUCUACCUCUGUCCUCCCUUCUCACUGCGGCACUUCACUAGUCUAAA
rnacentral:Y_RNA from 1 species